UACGGGGGGGGCAAGCGUUGUUCGGAAUUACUGGGCGUAAAGGGCUCGUAGGCGGCCAACUAAGUCAGACGUGAAAUCCCGAGGCUCAACCUAGGAACUGCGUCUGAUACUGGAUGGCUUGAAUCCGGGAGAGGGAUGCAGAAUUCCAGGUGUAGCGGUGAAAUGCGUAGAUAUCUGGAGGAACACCGGUGGCGAAGGCGGCAUCCUGGACCGGUAUUGACGCUGAGGCGCGAAAGCCAGGGGAGCAAACGGG
rnacentral:rRNA from 1 species